CCCUUAGAUGUUCUGGGCCGCACGCGCGUUACACUGAUGCAUUCAACGAGUUCUUCCUUGGCCGAGAGGCCUGGGCAAUCUUUUGAACGUGCAUCGUGAUAGGGAUAGAUUAUUGCAAUUAUUAAUCUUGAACGAGGAAUUCCUAGUAAACGCAGUUCAUCAAACUGCAUUGAUUACGUCCCUGCCCUUUGUACACACCGCCCGUCGCACCUACCGAUUGAAUGGUCCGGUGAAGCCUCGGGACGGCGGCUUGGUCGCUUGCGUCCGACUGCUGAAACUUGAUUAAACCAUAUCAUUUAGAGGAAGGUGAAGUCGUAACA
rnacentral:rRNA from 1 species